rnacentral:rRNA from 1 species
UACGUAGGGUGCAAGCGUUGUCCGGAUUUAUUGGGCGUAAAGAGCGUGUAGGCGGCCAGGCAGGUCUGCUGUGAAAACUCGAGGCUUAACCUCGAGCUGUCGGCGGAAACCAUCUGGCUAGAGUCCGGAAGAGGAGAAUGGAAUUCCCGGUGUAGCGGUGAAAUGCGCAGAUAUCGGGAAGAACACCCGUGGCGAAGGCGGUUCUCUGGGACGGUACUGACGCUGAGACGCGAAAGCGUGGGGAGCGAACAGG